GGCCCGUUUUCCACACACUGCUGGGAAUACCCACAACGGUCCUGGAUCCAUGUGCUAGGAGGUGGGCCGGAGGCAGCCAUGCCCUGACCCGCUCCUUGGCCAAAAGGAAGGAGGGGUCUAGCCUUCCAACCACAGGCCAUAAUUCAUUUCUCAGGGGAAAACCGCCGUCUCGCAGGGCUGCACUCUGCUUUCCCCCCUUCUUGCUGAAGGGGGCGCCAUCACAACAUCGAUACCCCAAAUCUCUCUGCAUCAUCUCAGGCCCCAUGCUUCCAGCAGUGACACAACCAACCCAUCGUCGGGGUCCCUCCCAUGCAACAACCUCGAGCAACGGAGAAGAAAGUAAACUGUUCAUCAGAGGCUCCGGGGCAAUGGCCGGAGAGAUUCCGGCGUAUCCACGGCGAAAUGUCCCCUCCCCGUCCUCCCCCAGCCCCCACACCCCAGGGCAGCCUUAGGCCUCCCCUUCCUCCUCUCCGUGCACCCUGUAGACCUCUCGUCCCACCUUAGGCGAUCUUGUCUGUCUGUCUUCGCUUCUGUCACCCCUUGUCAUGUGCAAGCACGUGCUUUCUAGGGAUGCAAAGACCUAAACACCUCAAUUCUGGAAACUCACUGAAGGUCAAACAUUUACUCAGCCAUUAAAAUUCCCUGUGUUAGAGUCAUUUACAUUCAUACUUGCAAGGAACACGUAACGAGGCCGGUAGACAGCGUUUUAUGGCUUUUCUCCAUCAACUCAAGUAGGCAAAAAGGAAGCACGGCUGCCAGAUAGAGCUAUUCCCUCUGGUCCUUCUCGCUCCACCAAAGAAAACAAAGAACAGAAACACCUGUGCCACUUCACGGAGUUUUGGGAGCCCCAGCAUCAGUGGGGAGGGGGGCACCCCUGCACGGAACGUGUCCGUGGCCCGGAUCGUCAACGUCCUGCAUUUCUGUGAGUUUUGACUGGAGCUGAGGUCAGUGCGGGACAAGGGAAAUGUGCUUCAAGGCUGACUGCCUGGAAGGUCUUUUCCAUUUUGGAGUGUCGACCGCGGGUCAGCCAGUCUCAGGGAAUAAGCUGUAAGUGGAGGAACCCCCCACAUUGGUCAAGAAAAAAGCAAGGACAAAGACCAAGGUCACCAGUGUAUCCGGGGCUUGGAAGGACUUUGAAACAUAGCGACAGAAAAAUCCUUUGACUCAUAACAAAAUGGAAGCUGGAAAUCAGUUGCAUAAGGGGUGCCUAAUUGACUGUCUCUCAUCAGUCGGGAAAAAAAGGGAAGAAUGUAGCAGAGAAAUCCAGAACGUUAGAGCCUGAUGUACGUCACCUCUGAGUGGAAGGGGAUGCGGAAACCAGGGUUGCCCAAGGUCAGGGGCUGGGUGAGGGGGAGGGAUGGGACGGAGCCCUGACUUUCAGCCGCUCACCGGGUCAUCAUUCUGUGUGAGCAAAAGAGGAUACUUAGUCAUUAGGGAGUAAGAAGACACCCAAAAGGGGAGCCCGAGGAACCCGACCUUGACCUUGCUCUUUUUUUUUUGUCUGAGUCACACUUCCUCUCUUAGGAGGAGCUGAACGGUUGACUUCCAGCCCACGGUGCCUGCCCUCUGUGGCAGUGACCGCGCAGAGCAGGGCCGCGCGGGCGUCACCCAAGGGCCUCUCUGUUUUUCCUGAGUGCUCUCACCACCUUGACAUCCCGGCAAUGCCCUUUACUGCACUUGUGUCCUGCUGAGAGUGUGGGUGAGGCCUGGGCUGUGCUUCACCGAAAUGGUGCUCUCCUACCUGCUCCGGAAUGUGGGCCGCCACCUUCCGUGUGUCCCGGGGGCCCCGGGCAGGCGGGGGAGCAGGGGCCAGCGUGGCACCCGGGAGGUGACACUGCGUCUCCGCCUGGCACCCUCCCUCCUCCUCGCGUUGAGGGCAGGCCCCUGAUGGCUGGGACUUCUCCUCGGCUUCCGUUCAUCUGUCUGUUUCUGCUCCCAGAGGUAAAACCAGGGGGAAGGCUUGAAGCAGGGAGGAUCUCCUUAUUACUGAUAACAAACCCGAAACAGAAGUGAUCAAUACCCCACACUUCAGCAGCUCACAGGGAGACCCUGGGUAAUGCCAGACAAAACAGCAAAGAUCUAAUUACACCGACAGAAAUAACUUACAUGGUCACAUACCUUCUACCUGUCCGUCUCCAAACUAAGUGGCCCUUUCACUUCAUGCAACAGUGAAAUAAAAUAUUUUGGGGCUGACAUUUCAAUAGGUCUGAGGUCCUGAAUACGGCUGAGCAACUCCUCCAUGCUUUUCUGGGCCACAAUUUCCCCAGUAGGAAAUGAAGGUUAAUCAUUUUCGCUUUAACUCCCAUACUCCAUCAUCCCUGCUUCUCAGAGAUGUAGUGACAAGAGAUAGUUGCAGUGUUUUCCAAACUUGUCCUAUGCCAAGAAUCACCUGGAAAACAUGUCAAGAUACAAACUCCCAAGCCAAACCCUGAACUUAUGAAGUCAGCGGUUCCAGCCUGGGCCUGGGCCUGGGCAUCUAUAGAUGUAAAGAGCUUCUGACUGCGUGUUCAAGCAAGCUUGGGAAACACUGAGGUAAUCACCACGAAAUCCUUUAGUGUUUCAAGGUACCAAGCUCCGAGCACUGAAAGGUGCAUUUAUCACUGCUAUUAUUUCAGACUAGGAUUACCAUCUUUAACAAACGAAAACACAGGAUGUGCAGUUAAAUGUGAAUUUCAGAUAAACAAGGAAUGAUUUUUUUUCAGUAUAAGUAUAUCCCAUGUAAUAUUUCGAGUAUACUUAUACUAAAAAAUUAUUUUGAUCUGGCAACUCUGUCAGAUGCUAUGUGUCUCAUUAUUGUGUAAUCUGGAAAAGCAUAAGAAAAAUCUAACGGUUAGCAAAAGAUAGCAUGUCAGUAAUAGAAGAGUGUCCUUUUCACAUUCCAGUCUCUAAACCUCUCAGUUUUUUACCCAGCUCUCCUGCUUGCCAGCAAGAGGGUGCCCUGGUCUCUGGUCUCUGGCUCUUCAUCAUUCUGAAGAGAGAGAGAGAGAGAAAGAAAGAAAAAGAAAAAAGGGAGAGAAGGAGAAAGA